GAGAAAGAAAAAAAAUAAUUAUAGGAGGGAGAUGCAAAACUUACGUUUUCUUUCUCUAGAAACAUAUUUUGAGUUUUCAAUAUCAUCAAAAUCAUAAACUUUAUUUAUUUGCAAAUCUAGAGCACAUAUAGCACGAUUUUCUCUCAUAAUUUACAUUGAUAUAACACAUAUUAUGUUCUUACCUUGCCCAAACAUUCGGGAUUUAAUUGAUAAUGUAAAAGAUGUUUUCAAAUGUAGAAUAAGAAAGAUGGAAAACCUCCAAGCCAAAUUAUACACAAGAAUAUAAAACAAAGCAUUUACUUGGUAGAUAAUAUUUUCUUUUUAAACAGCAAAUUUUAUUCAUAAUAAGAUAACCUAACACAAGAAGUGAAGAGGCUAUAGGGGAAAGACACAAGGUAACAAUACAUAAAGACAACUAAACCAAUGCUAAAAAGCCACAUCACAAAACCACCCAAACAACCCUUAAUACAAUAUAAUUGAACCAGUUUCCAUCAACACCACAUCAAUAGACCCCUAAAUAAUUGAACAAAAACCAGCCACCUAAACUUCCUGGUACCAGUAAAUUACAAUUACUUAGUAGAUAUUGAUAUGUCUUGUUGCAUUGAUGUUUCAGAAAUGUGUGGCUGGAGGGUAAUCUUUGGGUCGUAACUUCCACAAUAUCUUCGAGCAGCGAUUGAUUUUGGGAGGUUUGAAUUUUGGCAAGGCAGCAUCAACAGCAAAAUGUUGAGGAGCAAGCAUAAAAGCAGCAAGGAAUAACACUAAUAAGGAUAAGAAAAAGGAAUUAGCCAUUUUAAGAAGUGAUAUUAUUAUUGUGUUGGUGCAUAAUACAUAGGUAGUUAACUGGCUUUAUACUAGUUAGAGACUCAAUGUGAUUUUUUGGUCAAUCUAAGUCAUUGUGUAUGAAUUCAAUCAUUCAACACGUAGGUUCCAUGCAUUUGGAAAACUAGUUGAUGAUUAAUAAUGUUCAAUAUAUUAGGCUAUGAAUUGUUUAUGAAUUGAAUUAUUGAACAAUGUUACAUGUUCCAUGUAUUUGCAACUAGUUGAUGAUUGGUAGCUACCUAUCCUUUAAUUUUCCACACAACAAGACCAUUCAGUAAUAUUGGCUCUAUAUCUCCACUUGUUUGCCCACACCGUGGUUUAGCUGAAAAAACAGUGUACUGGAGGUGGAACAUGUUUUAAUAACAUUAAUAUGUAGAUAUUAUUAUUUAUGCAUUGAACCCUGUAUUGAUAAAAAUUCCACAUAGGUUACUUUAUUUGUCAUUUAUGCUUGAAUAUAUAAAUACAAAACAGUGUUUUUUCUUAUUAAAAUAGGGGGAUUUUAGGCUAGCUUUUGUUAUUCUAAUUAUACCCUUAAAUAAAUAAAAAAUCAAAUAAUGUAAUAUUGUUGGUAUAAUUAAAAAAAUAAGAAUUUUUGUUAUAUUAUUGUUGUCAUUGAGUAAGAUAAAUAUGGUUUGUUGAGUUUGUUACAUUUGAAAGUCACAUAUAUUUAUACUUAUAAUUUUAAUCUAUAUCAAAGAGUUUAUAUAAAAUAUCGGUUGUAAUUUACACGCAAAAUUUCUAUAAAUUAUCGUAGAUAAUCUAUACACGUUAACGUAUUAAAAAGAGUAGAAAGAUGCGCAUGUGACUGCCCGUAUUUUGGUCCCUUAACUUCUCUCUCUUACACAUUUUGGUCCUUUCCAUUAGUUUAAUUCAAAAACGUUGAAUUUUCUUCAUCUUCUUCUCCUCUUUUUCAUCUUCAUAUCAUCUCCAUCAACCUUCAACAACAAGAAUCCCAAAAAAAAUUAUAGAAGAAAAUGAAGAAAACCUAACGUUUUUGAAUUAAAACUAACGGAAAUGGCCAAAAUGUGUAACAGAGAGAAGUUAUGAGACCAAAAUAAAUCGAAUUUUAAUUAAGGGAUCAAAGCGAUACUACCUAAAUAGUUAAGGGACCAAAAAUGCAAUUUAGCCUAUAAUCUAAUAUCAUCGUUAUUAAAUAUUAUUUUAUAAUCUAAUAUCAUUGUUAUUAAAUUUUAUAGCAAGUAUCAAACGAAGAACCGAGAGUUGUUGUUUGAUAUUGUUAUUUAAUCAUGUCUCGUAUAUCAAAGGAAGGAUCGAGAGGUAAAAUUUGAUAUUGGAAUAAAUGAGAUUGUAAACGAUAAGCAAAAUAUGAGAAAAAUUUUGUGACUCUUAUGACAAUAAGGUUAUAAGGUUGCACUCAAAAAGUUUUAAUGAUUAUCAACUAUGAGAAUAGGUUUAAUUACUGUUGAGAUACAUUCAUGUAAUCUGAUAGGAAACAUGAAAUAUCAAAGAACAUCUUGUCCUUAGAAACGAAUAGAGAAAUAUAUAGGGAAUGUUUAGAAUUUAACUUUAUGAUGAAAACCUCAAUCUCAUGACGCAUUUUAAUAUCUGAAUUUUAAUCUAAAAAAUCAUUGCACUUAAUCAACUUAUCUUUUUCAGCUAAUCAAGACUAAAAAUUAGAUUAGAAUUUACUUUAAGUCCAUGUGAAUCGAUAUUUUACUAGAACCGUACACUUGCAGAAACCUAUCAAAGACCCUAUUGAUGUAUAUGGAAUCGUAGUUACCUAUCAAAGCUACAAAAUUUAGAUCGGACUUGGGGGUCUUUCUAACCGUUCUUGAAGUCGUAGGGGGGUUCGUUUACCGGAUGUAGCAUCGAAGGCUUGAGUGCAGAGUUCGAAGGGGUGCACAAGUAUUCAAGGAUCCGAAGAUUCAAGAAGCACCAAAUUUAAGGGUUACUUGGAGUUUGGGGGAGUGUUUUACAUAGGAGUUGAAGAAUUAGGUUUUAAUUUCAAGGAACUCUUGUAAACACAUUGUAUUCAACAUUUGUUACAUGGUGGAUGAUCUCGGUGAAGAUGUACUUAAUCAAGAAGAGUAGAGGUAGAUCUAGAGAGGACGAGAAAGAGCAAUCUAUUAUAAAAAUAUCGGUGUGAUCUCUCUUUCCCUAUCCUCUUUACUUUUAGAUAUUGCAUGUGAUUAAUUGAAUAAUUUUUAGGAUAAUUUCUAGUGUUGAUCUAAGUUGUUUUUCAUUGAAAAUCAAUCUAAUUCAUUGAAUUAGGUUUCAUAUAAUUUGCUUAGAUCAAUUGAAUGCAAAAUCUAUUCAAUUCUUCAAUUACACAUGUAUUGUGUUUUUUAUUUGAUAACUUAGUAAUUUUGUUCAUAUAGAUUUGGUUUGAAAUUGUCUAUUGUUUUAUACAUUGUUCAAGGAAUAUUAAAGUUUGAUUGUAUAAUAACAUUUAGUAACAAGGUGAUUGCAACACUUGAAAAAUUGUUAGCUGAUAUAGUGAUAUAGUAACAAUUGAGUAAAAGUGUUAGAUCCAAUACAACAAGUACCAUCCCUAAAAAAAAAACAAAAAUACAAGUAACAAUAGAACUCAUUCGUUAUUCAUUCACGUGUUAAAAAAUUUAGCUGAAAAAACAGUGUACUGGAGGUGGAACCUGUUUUAAUAACAUUAAUAUAUAGAUAUUAUUAUAUAUGCAUUGAACCCUGUAUGAUUUAUUGAUAAAAAUUCCACAUUACGUUAUUUGUCAUUUAUGCUUGAAUAUAAAAAUACAAAACAGUGUUUUUUCUUAUUAAAUUUUUUAAUUAAUUUAUAAAGACUUUUAAUAACUUAGUGUUUACCAAUUGCACUCAUUAAUUCUUAAUUAUAGAAUAAUUGUAAACCCAUUUUAGAUCCUCCAAAAAUGAAGAAAGCUCAUUCUUAGGACAACACAAAAUGGAAGAAACUCAAGAUUGUUGGCAUAUUGGUAGACUAUUUCUGUUUGACAAAUUCAAUAAUCUAGUUUAUAGUUUAUAAGUCCGAAUGAUUAAAAAAUAUAUGUUUCAUAACUGUUUUUUCAUCACAAGUUUUAUAGUUUAUUUUAUUAGUUUGUAGGUUUUUUUUUAGACUUUAUUCCAAAUGUGGAAUAACGUUUGAGAUUAUAGUUUAUCCUUUAUAAUCUAUAUUAUAUAUAAUGAAAAUAGGGGGAUUUUAGGCUAUCUUUUUUGUUAUUCUAAUUAUAUCCUUAAAUAAAAAGAAAUCAAAUAAUGUAAUAUUGUUGGUGUAAUUAAAAAAAUAAGAAUUUUUGUUAUAUUAUUGUUGUCAUUGAGAAAGAUAAAUAAAUAUAGUUUGUUGAGUUUGUUACAUUUGAAAGUCACAUAUAUUUAUACUUAUAAUUUCAAUCUAUAUCAAAGAGUUUAUAUAAAAUAUCGGUUGUAAUUUACAAGCAGAAUUUCUAUAAAUUAUCAUAGAUAAUCUAUACACGUUCACGUAAUAAAAAAAAGCAGAAAGAUGCGCACGUAAAUGCCCGUCUUUGCACUAGUUUAUUAUAAAAAAAAUGCUAAAAUGUUCAGUUCUUUUGGUCAUACUGCACAAAUUAUUUGGUAGCUUGACAUAUAUGUUACUGAUGUAAACUUCACUCUCACUUUAAUUAUGUUACUCCACAGUCCUCUAAAAUUGUGUUUCUCUUUUUUCCCUAAAACUUCUCUUUUGGAUUAUUCAAUCCGAAUUAAGUUGUUUCUGGUUUGAAAUAUAUAAUUUGAACUGCUUCUAUAUAUGUUUUCUCUUUAUUUUGUGGCUAUUUAUUAAUUGUGUGUAUAUCUGAUUUUAACACUUUCAAAUAUUGAUCGCAUGGGCUGUGUUAGGAAUGAUAGAAUUUCCUUGACUGCAUCUUCUAGGUGAGAGCAGACGUAGAAGAAUGUACUAGAAAGGAGAGUGGUCAAGGGCAGGGGCAUGGUCCGCAAUGCUGAGACGCAGAGAGGUCGUCAGUUCCUAGACAUUAGUGGAAGUUUAGGGCGCAUCGGGGAACAUGUCAGAAAUAUUUAACUUUUUUAGUGAAUAUUUUUUUAAUUUAAAAUUUUUAAAGAGUGUCUCGAAGAUACUCGUUGGCAAGACUGAUAAGUUGUAGUUAAUGGUGUUUUUAACAUUUAAAUUCAAUAAUAUUUACGUUGUUUUAGUUUUAAUUUAGAUUCAUUUUACUGGAAAGCAUUAGUUUUUGUUUUCAUAAUCAAAAAUUUGAAGAACAGUGUACCUGGAUCAAGAGCGAGGAUAAAGAGCCAUAAAGCAACAACAUGGAUUGUUCGUGGUUCCAUCUGGGUUGUGCACUUCUUAAAAUGUCAGAAUUUCAAAAGUUGAAGUACAAGCACGACCGUGCCCCCCAACACCGUAGAAAUAAGCAUGAUUGUGCGCUUCAGAAGCACGACUUUGCACCCCUCAAAACAUGUCAAAAGUUGGAAAGGUGAUCAUGACCGUGUACCCUUGAAGCAUGACUGUGCACCCUUGAAGCACGACCGUGCGUCUUGUGCAGAGAAAAUAGUUGUUACAACCUUUUAGAAUUCUUUAGUUUAUGGCUUGUAACUCGUUUUUAAUAUAUUAUAUGAGGCUCUAGGCUAUAAAUAUACCUCACUUCUAAGGAAAAAAGAAUCUUAGAUACUUGUAAACUUACUCUAAAGUUGAAAACAUAAUUUUGCAAUGUUCUAAGUUCUUUGUUCUUUAUUUUUCAUUUCUUUACAUUUGUGUUCUUUACUCUUCUGUUCUUUACAUUUUAAGUUAUUUACUUUCAUGUCUUUUACUUUCUUGUCUUUAUAUAUUAAUCAUUCGUCUACUAUGAGAGAGAGAGAGAGAGAGAGAGAGAGAGAGAGAGAGAGAGAGAGAGAGAGAGAGAGAGAGAGAGAGAGAGAGAGAGAGAGAGAGAGAGAGAGAGAGAGAGAGAGAGAGGUGAUAUUAGUGCAGAACACAUAGCAAAAGAGAAUGAAAAAAGAAGAUCCCGAUCCUUUUCUAAAGGAGAAUCAACCAUCUAUAUAACGACAAAUUUAAACCCAUCAAGUACAAAAAAACGAUCAAGGUAAAAAAUAUAAACGGAACAUUGAACAAUUUUAUUAAAUUAUAAUAAACUUCAAAGGGUAAAAUUGGUUUUUAGAUAAACAUAUAAGGGGUUACCAAAUAGGGUUACAAGUUAUAAGCUUGUGAAGAAAACGUCUUGGUUGACUUCAAUGACUAAAGUAACUAAGACCAAAGAGUGAAUGAUUUAAUUCGGAUUUUAUCUAAGUCAUUGACCAAAAUUACAUCUUGUUACACUUUUAAGGAGAAAAAUGGUUGUUUUCUCAAUAAUGUUUUCCAAUAUUAAAUUAAUGUUGUUUUCUGCCUUAGGGAUGUUACCAAUUUGUUAUGUUGGAGUUACCUUUAGUGCUAAGAAACCUUUAGACCAAUAAAAAUAUUUUGAGUCCCUUUUAAAGUGGUAAAUACACUAAUAUAAAGUCAUUGUCAAUUGAUGUUAGGACUAUUUAUUAAUAAUGCAAUAUUUACUUGUUGUUCUUUGGUAGACACUUAAGGUGCGUUUGAUUUGUUAAAAAAUGAAGGACAGAACAACUCUAGUUGUCCAGUGUUUGAUUUGUAAAACUGUUUUAGGUACAAGACAAUUUGGAGGCAAGGGACAGGACAAAAACUCAUUUUUGUCCCUCACCAACCCACAACACAACUUUUUGUCCCACGUACAAGUUGUCUAAAAUACCAAAAUAGCAUUUUGUCCCUCAAAAAUCGUAUAAAACAAAAAAUUACUCAAUGCCAUAAAAAAUUUGUCCUGUCUUGUUCUGCCUUGUGUUGUACUGUUCUAUCUUGUACUGUUUUGUCCGGUACUUGCUGUUUUGCAAACCAAACACACCCUUAGAGGUCAUUUUUGUGGACUGUAGGUACCUAAAGCUCUAUGAACUUGGUUAUAUCAUAGAUAACGUCGUAUUGGAAAAACGGAAAUGAAAGACUCAUCUCUCACUCUACUUAGGGCUAGCCAAUUGUCAAACGCCAAUUGUCAAACUUGGUUACAAUUAAUUUUUUUUGGAAAACUUAUUUUGAAUUUUCUACAUGUCAUGAAAAAUUCAAAUUUCUGUUUUCUGAUUAGAAGAUCAAUAAACGGUUCAAUAUCAUCACAAUCUCCAAAUCAUAACUUCAUUCAUUUGCAAAUCUAGAGCACAUAUAUCACGAUUUUCUAUCAUGAUUUGCAUUGAUAUAAGUAAGUAUAACACAUAUAUUUUACUCUUAACUUAGCCAUACAUUGCGGAUUUACUUAGUAGAUAGAGUAAUGUUUUUUUUUAAACAACAAAUUUUAUUCAUAAGCUAACCCAACACAAGAAGUGAAGAGGCUAGAGGAAACACACAAGACAACAGAUACAUAAAGACAACUAAACCACCCAAACAAUCCUUAAUACAAUAGAAUAACAUCAGAAAAACCAGCCACCUAAACUUCCUAGUACCAUGAAACAAUGUCAGGUCGCGUUGAUUUUUAGGCUGGAGGGCAAUGUUUGUUUCGGAAGUUCUCGACUUUCUUCAACAAAGGGUAGUGCUUUUUGCAGAAAUCGGGUAUAUGGGGUAUAUGUACUGGUUUAUCUUUUGGGAUUAAAUUUUUGAUUUUUGGGAUUAAUGCUUCAACUGCGGGACCAAAGCUAACAGCAUCAGCAAAAUGUUGUUGAGGAGCAAGCAUAAAAGCAGCAAGGAAUAACACUAAUAAGGAUAAGAAAAAUGAAUUAGCCAUUUUAAGAAGUGAUAUAAUUAUUAGUGUUGGUGCAUAAUACAUAUGGAGUAUACUGGUUUUAUACUAGUUAGAGACUCAAUGUGAGUUUAUGGUCGAUCUAAGUCAUUUACUAAAUGUCAAAAUUGUGUAUGAAUUGAAUUAUUCAACAAUGUUACAAGUUCCAUGUAGUUGCUACUAGUUUAUGAAUUGAAUUAUUCAUUCGAUUCUCCGCGCGACUCAGGUGCAUGCCGAAACCGUUUUAAUUAUAUGAGCAAAUUAAUAAAUAAAUGGGUUGGUGCUUAUGAUGGUGCUAAGCGUUUGCAAGGAAGCGGUUGGUCGAAAGAUGAUGUUUUGGAAAAAGCCCAUGAAUUAUAUGUGAAACACCCCGUUUUCCCAACUUGAAUUUUUUUGCAUAAAUCAGAGUAAAACAACUAAACAGGAUGCUGCACUUCUUUCAAAUCUGAAUAUAGUAAAAUUACUAAUUAUCUCAAUCAUCAAAUUAAAUCUUAUUGCAGCGGAAAUUAGUUCAACGUUUAAAACAACCUUGGCACAAAGGCCUCAAUGUAAAAUCUCAUAAAAUUAUUCCAACAACAUGUUCAUAAAACUUCAUAAAAUAAUACGUAAGGAACGUAAAGCAACAACAAAAUUCUCAUCCCGUUACGUAUCAGAGCACCUAAGACACACGUGAGAGAAUCCACUCACGACCGCAACUAUUCUUGGUUACCUGCAAGUUACUCAAUUGUGAGGGCAACAUUUCCAAGCAGAAGGGGUGAGAUUUCACAUUCAAUAAUAAUAAGCAUAUAAUUCAUCAAAUUCAUUUAACAACUUAAACUUCAUCAAUUAGUAACACUAACUCUUCGCAUAAAUACUUCAUUAAUUAAUAACAUUAACUCUUCCUAUAAGACUUCAUUAAUAACUCAAUCAACUUCUAAUCAUCAUUAACUUCAUAUUCAUCACAUUAUAUACAACGUCAUACAGCACGUAAUAAUCAAAUCAUAAACAUCAUCAUAUAAAAACCUAAUCAUCACAUCAUAAACAUCAUCUUAUAACAUCAUAUAGUUCACAUCAUAAACAUCAUCAUAUAACAACAUAAACAUCACAACAUAAACAUGAAAUAAGGUUAUAAGGUUGCACUCAAAAAGUUUUAGUGAUAGUCAACUAUGAGAAUAGGUCUAAUUACUGUUGAGAUACAUUCAUGUAAUCUUAUAGGAAACAUGAAAUACCAAAGAACAUCUUGUCCUUAGAAAUGAAUAGAGAAAUAGAUAUGGAAUGUUUAGGAUUUAACUUUAUGAUGAAAACCGCAAUCUCAUGACGCAUUUUUAUAUCUAAAUUUUAAUCAAAAAAAAUAAUUGCACUUAAUCAAUUUAUUUUUUUCAGCUAAUCAAAACUAAAAAUUAGAUUAGUAUUUACUUAAAGUCCAUGUGAAUCGAUAUUUUACUAGAACCGUACACUUGCGUAAACCUAUCAAAGACCCUAUUGAUGUAUAUGGAAUCGUAGUUACCUAUCAAAGCUACAAAAAAAAUUAGAUCGGAAUUGGGGUCUUUCUGACCAUUCUUGAAGUCGAAGGGGGUUCGUUUACUGGAUGUAGCAUCGAAGGCUUGAGUGAAGAGUUCGAAGGGGUGCACGGGUAUUCAAGGAUCUGAAGAUUCAAGAAGCACCAAAUUUAAGGGUUACUUGGAGUUUGGGGGAGUGUUUUACAUAGGAGUUGAAGAAUUAGGUUUUAAUUUCAAGGAACUUUUGUAAACACAUUUGUAUUCAACUAUUAUAAAAAUAUCGGUGUUAUCUCUCUUUCCCUAUCCUCUUUACUUUUAGCUAUUGCAUGUGAUUAAUUGAAUAAUUUUUAGAAUAAUUGCUAGUGUUGAUCUAAGUUAUUUUUCAUUGAAAAUCAAUCUAAUUCAUUGAAUUAGGUUUCAUAUAAUUUGCUUAGAUCAAUUGAUUGAAAAAUCUAUUCAAUUCUUCAAUUACACAUGUAUUGUGUUUUUGAUUUGAUAACUUAGUAAUUUUGUUCAUGUAGGUUUGGUUUGAAAUUGUCUAUUGUUUUGUACAUUGUUCAAGGAAUAUUAAAGUUUGAUUGUAUAAUAAGAUUUGUAUCGUGAAUCUCUCAAUUCUAAGAUUAAGUCUCAUUGCACAUAUAUUUGACCUUUUGAUUCCUUGAUUGUCAUUGUUCGACCACGAAUCCAAUAGUCAAUUUUGUUGAGAGAGAGAGAGAGAGAGAGAGAUUGGAUGGACGGGUGAUAUUAGUGCAGAACACAGCAAAAGAGAAUCGAAAAAAGAGGAUCUUGAUCCUUUUCUAAAGGAGAAUCAACCAUCUAUAUAAUGACAAUUUUAAACCCAUCAAGUACAAAAAUAACGAGCAAGGUGAAAAUAUAAACGUAACAUUGAACUAUUUUAUUAAAUGAUAAUAAACUUCAAAGGGUAAAAUUGGUUUUUAGAUAAACAUAUAAGGGGUUACUAAAAAGGGUUACAAGUUUUUUUUUUUUUUUGAAAGAAGGGAUACAAAUUAUAAGCUUGCGAAGAAAAGACGGUUAUCAAACACAGCCUAUGCAGCUCAUGAAGCUGCCAUAAAAAUUUUAAUAGUGGGGGAUGUUUAAUGAAGAUUAGUAGUAGUGUUACGUUAUUCAUGGAGCUAUAGUUAUAAAUAAUUUUAAAGUGGGUAAUGUUUAUUGAAGAUAGGGAGAUCGAAGCGGAAAUGCUGAAAAAUGAUGAUGGAAAAAUAUAAAUCGAUAUUAUCUUUUAUUUUAGUCAGAAUUUAAAUUUGGUAUUUUUCAGUAUCCAUGUCGGCGAUUUUGACUAAUUUUGAUUAAGUAAACGUCUUAGUUGACUUCAAUGACUAAAGUAACUAAGAACAAAGAGUGAAUGAUUUAAUUCGGGUUUUAUCUAAGUCAUUGACCAAAAUUACAUCUUGUUACACUUUUAAGGAGAAAAAUGGUUGUUUUCCCAAUAAUGUUUUCCAAUAUUAAAUUAAUGUUGUUUUCUGCCUUAGGGAUGUUACCAAUUUGUUAUGUUGGAGUUACCUUUAGUGCUAAGAAACCUUUAGACCAAUAAAAAUAUUUUGAGUCCCUUUUAAAGUGGUAAAUACACUAAUAUAAAGUCAUUGUCAAUUGAUGUUAGGACUAUUUAUUAAGAAUGCAAUAUUUACUUGUUGUUCUUUGGUAGACACUUAGAGUUCAUUUUUGUGGACUGUAUGAACUUGGUUAUAUCAUAGUUAACGUCGUAUUAGACAAACGGAAAUGAAAGACUCAUCUCUCACUCUACUUAGGACUAGCCAAUUGUCAAACUUGGUUACAAUUUAUUUUGUUUGGAAAACUUAAUUUGAAUUUUCUACAUGUCAUGAAAAAUUCAAAUUUCUGUUUUCUGAUUAGAAGAUCAAUAAACGGUUCAAUAUCAUCACAAUCUCCAAAUCAUAACUUCAUUCAUUUGCAAAUCUAGAGCACAUAUAUCACGAUUUUCUAUCAUGAUUUGCAUUGAUAUAAGUAAGUAUAACACAUAUAUUUUACUCUUAACUUAGCCAUACAUUGCGGAUUUACUUAGUAGAUAGAGUAAUGUUUUUUUUUAAACAACAAAUUUUAUUCAUAAGCUAACCCAACACAAGAAGUGAAGAGGCUAGAGGAAACACACAAGACAACAGAUACAUAAAGACAACUAAACCACCCAAACAAUCCUUAAUACAAUAGAAUAACAUCAGAAAAACCAGCCACCUAAACUUCCUAGUACCAUGAAACAAUGUCAGGUCGCGUUGAUUUUUAGGCUGGAGGGCAAUGUUUGUUUCGGAAGUUCUCGACUUUCUUCAACAAAGGGUAGUGCUUUUUGCAGAAAUCGGGUAUAUGGGGUAUAUGUACUGGUUUAUCUUUUGGGAUUAAAUUUUUGAUUUUUGGGAUUAAUGCUUCAACUGCGGGACCAAAGCUAACAGCAUCAGCAAAAUGUUGUUGAGGAGCAAGCAUAAAAGCAGCAAGGAAUAACACUAAUAAGGAUAAGAAAAAUGAAUUAGCCAUUUUAAGAAGUGAUAUAAUUAUUAGUGUUGGUGCAUAAUACAUAUGGAGUAUACUGGUUUUAUACUAGUUAGAGACUCAAUGUGAGUUUAUGGUCAAUCUAAGUCAUGUACUAAAUGUCAAAAUUGUGUAUGAAUUGAAUUAUUCAACAAUGUUACAUGUUCCUUCCAUGUAUUUGCUACUAGUUGAUGAUCAGUCCCUACCUAUCCUUUAAUUUUCCACACAACAAGACCAUUCAGUAAUAUUGGCUCUAUCUCUCCACUUGUUUGCCCACCAUGGUUUAGCUGAAAAAACAGUGCAACUUGUUUCAAUAACAUUAAUAUAUAUAGAUAUUACUAUUUAUAUAUGCAUUGAACCCUGUAUGAUUUAUUUAUUUAUAAAAAUUCCAAAUAGGUUACUUUAUUUGUCAUUUAUGCUUGAAUAUGAAAAUACAAAACAGUGUUUUUUCUCAUUAAAAUUUUUACUAUAAAGAUUUUUAAUAACUUAGUGUUUACCAAUUGCACUUACUAAUUCUUAAUUAUAGAAUGAUGAUUAAAAAUUGUAUGUUUCAUAACUGUUUUUCAUCACAAGUUUAUAGUUCACUUCUCAGACGUUAUUCCAAAUAACGUUUGAGAUUAUAGGUUAUCAUUUUAAUUUCAUGUUUACCUUUAUUAUUUUGUUUAAGAUUUAUUUUUAUCCUUUUUAAUAUAUACUAUUUAUAAAGAAAAUAUAGGGAUUUUGGGCUGACUUUUUUGUUAUUCCAAUUAUACCUUUAAAUAAAAAAAAAUCAAAUAAUGUGAUAUGGUUGGUGUUAAUAAAAAGAUAAGAAUUUUUGUUAUAUUAUUGUUGUCAUUGAGAAUCAUAAAUAUUGUUUGUUGAGUUUGUUACAUUUGAAAGUCACAUAUCAUACUUUUAAUUUUUGUCUAUAUCAAAAAAUUUAUAUAAAAUAUCGUUUGUAAUUUACACGCAGAAUUUCAAUAAAUUAUCGUAAAUAAUUUAUACACAUUAACGUAAUAAAAAGAGCAGAAAGAUGAACAUGUGAAUGCUCGUCUUUUCGCUAGUUUAUUAUAAAGAAUAUGCUAAAUGUUUGGUUCUUUUGUCAUACUACACAAAUUAUUUGGUAGCUUUAUAUAUAUGUUACUAAUGUUAAUUUCACUCUCACUUUAAUUAUGUUACUCCAGAGUCCCUCUGAAAUAAUGUUUCUCUUUUUGCCCUAAAACUUCUCUCUUGCCAUCCAAAAUUUAAAACUCCCAUAUUAUAUGAUUCAUGAAGAUUUUUUGCUUCAAAACAUUGAUCAGGUCUUUUCAAACACGGACAACAAGGUAGGGUAUCAUUCCUUCCCUUUAGUGUUAUUUGAAUCUUUUUUUUUUUUCUUCUGUAAACUAAAACCUUAUAGAUUAUAUAAUAAUCUGAAUCAAGUUGUUCCUGGUUUGGAUUAUAUAAUUUGACAUGCUUCUAUAUAUAUGUUGUUUUGUUAUUUUGUGGAUAUUUUUUUAUUUUUUUUAGACAAAAGAGGAAUUAAAUUAAAAUAGAAAAGGAGGUAUAAGAUUGGGGGCAAUGACCUGACCAGUAAACCACAAAAUCAAAAUACAACAAUUUCAGUACAAAGUGGUAUACAACGAACACAACCCUAAACAAUCACUACUACGGACAAUUCAGCGAACCCACGUAUGAGCGCCAAACCGAAUUGCAAAAAAAACGUAGAGUGAGUAUUCAGAACUUCUAAAUAGGCGUAUGGAUCGACUGCCAACACAAAAACGAUCCAAGAUCAAGCAGCUCCCAUCAAAUAUCAGCAAGCAAUAAACGCCCUUUCGGGCCAACCAUUCCAGUCGUAGUUCAGUUCGAGGGAUGAACAAACGACAUAAAUGUAAAGCAGUCCACUGACAACGCAUAAAGCAACCGUAGCAGAUAAAGUCCUGCAGGUACGACAUCAACAACUAUCGUCAACCAGAGCGUCUACGCACUUAGCCCUUUCGUGCAUAUCAGGCGAAACAAGUCUUGUUGAAUCCAGAUCGAGGGAUGGUAUCCAACCAAACAUCGCACAAAUGAACAGAACCAUAACCAAAUCUUAAAUCCAGACAAACCAAAUUCAAAAUUUCAACUAAACCGGAUAGCCAGAAUAAGACCACCACCAAUCUUCAUCUUCCCGAAACAACAUAAAACACCAUUCGAUUCUUCAUGGUCUUCUUCUUUCAAACUAGUGCGUCUUCCUGGAACCGCCAUUGAUGUGAAAUUCGACUAUCUUUGCCGCCGCUUCAACUUCAAACUACUAUGCCAUUGACGCUUUUAAUUUAGUGGGAGAAAAAAGAAAAAGAUCGAAAUGAAAGUAGAAGAAGAAGGUUUGGUGUGUGUUUUUGAAGAAGAAGACGAAGAAAAAAAAAAGUUUGUGUUGUUACGUGUGAGAGGGUGUGGUGGUAAGCUUGUAUAUGAGAGAGAAAUAUAUGUCUAGAGUUUUGAUGUCUAAAGAAGACCACAAUUAAUGUGACAUUGGAAAAUGAAAGGGUGGAUGCAUGGGUACCAAAAUCUCAUAAUUAUUUGUUGGAAGAUGCAUAAGGAAGAGAGAGUUAUCCCCAAUAAAUGAGAGUGGGGAAUAGUUGAAAGAAGUGGCUUUUACAAAGUAGAAUGCUGAUUAGAAUUAACAAUUAAGUGUAGAUGAUCAACGGUUGAUGUUGAAUGGCGCCUAAAUGAUGAUCAGCAUCCAAUGGCUUGCAAAAUUGGAGAGAAAAAUGAGGGGGGAAAAUUAGGGUUAAGGAUAGCUUCGGGGGAUAAGCUUUAGUAAGUAAGAUUGUCUUAUAUACUUACAUUAUUUUAGGUCUAAAUUUCAGAAACCAUUAUUUGACAAUUUUUUUGACAAUUUUAUCUCACAUACUCACAUUAUAUUUUUACUUCUCUUUUUGUUGUUUUGGUUUUUAUUUUCAUACCUAAUUUUCCUUGUAAAUCUAUAGUUGUCUCAUAAAUUAUCGUUAAAAUUGUUGUUCAAAUAACACAACUCUUAUUUCUAAUACUCAAAAUUUGUUCAAAUUAAGUUUUUAAAGAACUUCUAAUAAAGUCAGAUUAAAGUUUUUUUGAACUUUUUAAAUACUUAAAUUGAAUUUUCUCCAAUAUACAUAUUAGAGAAAGAAAAAAAAUAAUGAUAGGAGGGAGAUGCAAAACUUAUGUUUUCUUUCUCUAGAAACAUAUUUUGAGUUUUCAAUAUCAUCAAAAUCUCAAAAUCAUAAACUUUAUUUAUUUGCAAAUCUAGAGCACAUAUAGCGCGAUUUUCUCUCAUAAUUUACAUUGAUAUAACACAUAUUAUGUUCUUACCUUGCCCAAACAUUCGGGAUUUAAUUGAUGAUGUAAAAGACGUUUUUAAAUGUAGAAUAAGAAAGAUGGAAAACCUCCAAGCCAAAUUAUACACAAGAUAUACAAAUUAUACACAAAAAUUUCAAAUUUCAAUUUUCUCGAGAGUAUUCUUAAAUGAUCAAUCAAUGAUUCAAUAUAAUCACAAUCUCAAAAUCAUAAACUUUAUUUAUUUUCAAAUCUAGAGCACAUAUAGCGGGAGGAGAUUGUCUCGUGUGAUUUUUCUCUCAUGUGUAAUCCAGACCCUCCAUUAAAUAUGUGAGAUAAUGUGUUUGUAAUAUAAAAUGACCGAACGCAAGAUAAAUUGUUUUUUUCUAAACAAUAAAUUUUAUUCAUAAGCAUUCCCGUGAGCUUAGCUCAGUUGGUACGGAUAUUGCAUUUUAUAUGCAGGGGCUGAGGUUCGAACCCCAGACACCCCACUUCUCCACAAUUAAAUUGUGUGAGCUCUAACCACUAGACUACUUGACCAAGAAAAAAAGAAAUAUUCAUAAACUAACCCAACACAACACAAGAAGUGAAGAGGCUAUAGAGGAAAGACACAGGGUAACAAUACAUAAAGACAACUAAACCAAGGCUAAAAAGCCACAACACAUGUAAAUGGCUUAUCACAGCAGAAAACAAGGUAUAUCAAUAUCAUGUGUGACUACAAAACCGCCCAAACAACCCUUAAUACAAUAGAAUCACAGCAGAAAACACCCUUAGUAGAUAUUGAUAUGCCUUGCCGCGUUGAUGUUUUAGAAAUGUGCAGGUGGAGGGCAAUUACUGGGUCGGUUAUGCCCGUUUUUCCUCGAGCAGGGAUUUAAUGAGGGCUUUUGGGAUGGUUUAGGACGAGGGAAAGGUACUGGUUUGGAUGGAGUGAAAUGGGGUAAAUGCUUUAUGAUUCCUGGAGGGAGAUGUAUGGCAUCAACAGCAAAAUGUUGAGGAACAAACAUAAGAGCAGCAAGGAAUAACACUAAUAAGGAUAAGAAAAAGGAUUUAGCCAUUUUAAGAAGUGAUAUAAUUAUUAGUGUUGGUGCAUAAUACAUAGGGAGUUAAACUGGUUUUAUACUAGUUAGAGACUCAAUGUGAGUCUAUCGUCAAUCAAAGUUAAAAUUGUGCACGAAUUGAAUUAUUCAACAAUGUUACAAGUUCCAUGUAUUUGAUACUAGCUGAUGAUCAUUUAGUAUUAUUGGCUCUAUCUCUCCACUUGUUUGCGCACAUGGUUUACCUGAAAAAACAGUGUACUGGAGGUGCAACUUGUUUUAAUAGCAUUUUUUGUUGAGCACAUCAUGAGACAACACCGACAUCCUAACUAGAUUAGUAUUUCAGGACGCCUCCGUCCUAUGCCUGCCAAUCUCUAAAUUUUAUUAAAAAAGGGUAAAAAUAUAUACAAGGAGAGUGAGGACUAGGCCAAAAUCCUCAAUGAAAAAACCAAAGGAAACAAUAAAAAAUAAAGCCUACUGAAAUCUAUAAUUGGGUGAGCCAAUUCUGUCUCUAUAGAAGUCGAAAUGCAACUCUGCACGAAGCGUGUCUAACCAAACAGAACCCUGAAUAUCAUGACCCUCGGACAUUCCAAUAUAACAUCAUUGGGAAGAUGGAGGAAGACCACUCUUUCCAAGGAUUUGAUAAUGCGGCUUUCCGAAGACUUACUUCUUCAUAUUUAACGCGGCUUUUUUGAGAGAACUUGCGUAAAUCCUUUCUUUACGGCCCGUUGAUCGUAUUCUUUGAUUCUGGCCCAUAAAUCCAAGUCAUUCUGUACGUUUUUGCUAGUGUUUUAAUAACAUUAAUAUAUAGAUAUUACUAUUUAUAUAUGCAUUGAACCUGUAUGAUUUAUUUAUAAAAAUUCCAAAUAAAUUACUUUAUUUGUCAUUUAUGCUUGAACAUAAAAAUACAAAACAUUGUUUUUUCUCAUUAAAAAAUUUAAUUAAUUUAUAAAGCUUUUUAAUAAAUUAGUGUUUACCAAAUUGCACUCAUUAAUUCUUAAUUAUUGAAUGAUUGUAAACUCAUUUUAGAACCUCCAAAAAUGAAGAAAGCUCAUUCUUAGGACAACACAAAAUGGAAAACACUCAAGAUUGUUGGCAUAUUGGUAGACUAUUUCUAUCUGACAAAUUCAAUAAGCUAGUUUAUAGUUUAUAAGUCCGAAUGAUUAAAAAAUGUAUGUUUCAUAACCGUUUUUUCAUCACAAGUUUUAUAGUUUAUUUUAUUAGUUUGUAGCUUAUUUUUUAGACGUUAUUUUAAAUAACGUUUGAGAUUAUAGUUUAUCAUUUUUAUUUGUGUUUACCUUUAUUAUUCUGUUUAAGAUUUAUUUUUAUCCUUCAUAAUCUAUACUACUACCGUUUAUUCUGUUUGACAUUAUAGUUUAUUUUUAUUUGUAGUAUAUAUAAAGAAAAUAGGGGGAUGUUAGGCUAGCUUUUUUGUUACUCUAAUUAUACCCUAAAAUAAAUAAAAAGUCAAAUAAUAUUAUAUUGUUGGUGUUAUUAAAAAGAUAAGAAUUUUUGUUAUAUUAUUGUUGUCAUUGAGAAAGAUAAAUAUGGUUUAUUGAGUUUGUUACAUUUGAAAGUCACAUAUAUUUAUACUUGUAAUUUUAAUCUAUAUCAAAGAGUUUUUAUAAAAUAUAGGUUGUAAUUUACACGCAGAAUUUCUAUAAAUUAUCGUAGAUAAUCUAUACACGUUAACGUAGUAAAAAGAGAAGAAAGAUGCGCACGUGAGUGCCCGUCUUUUCACUAGUUUAUUAUAAAGAAAAUGUUAAAAUGUUCAAUUAUUUUGGUCAUACUGCACGAAUUAUUUGGUAGCCUGGCAUAUAUGUUACUAAUGUUAAUUUCACUCUCACUUUAAUUAUGUUACUCCACAGUCCUCUAAAAUCGUGUUUCUCUUUUUGCCCUAAAACUUCUCUUUUAUGUUACUCCACAAUCCUCUAAAAUCGUGUUUCUCUUUUUGCCCUAAAACUUCUCUUUUUGAUUAUUCAAUCCGAAUCAAGUUGAUCUGGUUUGGAUUAUAUAAUUUGAACUGCUUUUAUAUAUGUUGUUUCUUUAUUUUGUGGAUAUUUGUUAAUUGUUUGUACAUCUGAUUUUAACACUUUCAAAUAUUGACCGCAUGGGCUGUGUUAGGAACGAUAGAAUUUCCUUGACUGCAUCUUCUAGGUGAGAGCGUAUGUAGAAGAAUGUAGUGGAAAGGAGAGUGGUCAAGGGCAUGGGCAUGGGCCGCAAUGCUGAGACGCAGAGAGGUCGUCAGUUCCUAGACAUUAGUGGACAGUUACGGCGCAUCGAGGAACAUGUCAGAAGUAUUUAACUUUUUUAGUGAAGAUUUUUUUAAUUUAGAAUUUUUAAAGAGUGUCUCGAAAACACUCAUUAGCAAGACUGAUAAGUUGUAGUUUAUGGUGUUUUUAUCAUUUAAAUUCAAUAAUAUGUACGUUGUUUUAGUUUUAAUUUAGAUUCAUUUUACUGGAAAACAUUAGUUUUUAUUUUCAUAAUCAAAAUUAUGAAGAACAUUAUACCUAGAUUAAGAGCGAGGAAAAAGAGCCAUGAAAGAGCCAUAAAGCAGCAGCACGGAUGGUCCGUGGUUCCAUCUAGGUCGUGGAGUUCUUAAAAUGUCAAAAUUUCAAAAGUUGAAGUACAAGCACAACCGUGUGCCCCAACACGGUAGAAACAAGCAUGAUUGUGCACUUCAGAAGCACGACUUUUGCACCCCUCAAAACACAACAAAAUGUCAAAAGUUGGAAAGGUGAGCAUGACCGUGCACCCUUGAAGCACGACCGUGAGUCUUGUGCAGAGAAAAAUAGUUGUUACAACCUCUUAAAGUUCUUUGGUUCAUGGCUUGUAACUUGUUUUUAAUAUAUUUGUCUGAGGCUCUAGGCUAUAAAUAUACCUCACUUCUAAGGAAAAAAGAAUCUUAGAUACUUGUAAACUUACUCUAAAGUUGAAAGCAUAAUUUUGCAAUGUUUUAAGUUCUUUGUUCUUUAUUUUUCAUUUCUUUACAUUUGUAUUCUUUACUUUUCUGUUCUUUACAUUUUCAGUAUUUUAUCUUCAUGUCUUUAUAUUUUAAUCACAUGUCUAUUAUGAUCAUAUGUUAGUAAACAAACUAUUCUAGUCUUGGAAUUGUUAGAAUAAUCAAUCUAAUGAUUGAAUGUUAAUCAACCCAAGUCUAGACUCUAUUUUAUAAGAAUCCAUUUUAUAAUCUAAUAUCAUCGUUACUAAAUUUUAUUUUAUAAUCUAAUAUCAUUGUUAUGAAAUUUUAUAACAAGUAUCAAACAAAGAACUGAGAGUUGAUGUUUGAUAUUGUUAUUUAAUCAUGUCUAAGAUAUCAAACGAAGGACCGAGAGGUGAAAUUUGAUAUUGGAAUAAAUGAGAUUGUAAGAGAUAAGCAAAAUAUGAAAAUAAUUUUAUGACUCUUAGGACAAUAAGGUUAUAAGGUUGCACUCGAAAAGUUUCAAUGAUAAUCAACUAUGAGAAUAGGUUUAAUUACUGUUGAGAUACAUACAUUCAUGUAAUCUGAUAGGAAACUGAUAGAAUAUGUGUUACUUAGUCAUGUAAUUUGUAUUAUUAAAAGAAUAUUAAUACGUAUUCAUUGUGUUAAUUAGUCAUUCAUUUUGUAUUCAUUAGUCAUUAAGAGAAUGAUAACAAUUUGAUGUAUAUAAUGCACUCAGAUUAUCAAUGAAAAUCAUUCAGCUAUUUUCCUAUAUGGUAUCAGCUAGGUUUUAGAUCCUCUCCUACUUCUUCUAGCCGCCCACCACCACCUUUUCUUCCCUAUACUUCCGUUAUAAACCGCCAUCCAUGGCUACCUCAACAACAGCUGAAUCAACCACUCUCUCAACAAAUUCCUCUCCCGUGACAGACACAUUUGUCUCAACGGCACCAUCAUCAAAAAUUCACUCGGCCUUCACUAUCAACAACGUGAAGUCUAUCAUUCCCGUAACCUUGCACAAUGGCAGAAUGCUUUUCAUUGAUAAUCUGAGUGCAUUAUAUACAUCAAUUUGUUAUCAUUCUCUUAAUGACUAAUGAAUACAAAAUGAAUGACUAAUUAAUAUAAAUGAAUACCUAUUAAUAUUCUUUUAAUAAUACAAAUUACAUGACUAAGUAACACAUAUUCUAUCACUCCCACGCAGUUGAUGCGGGAGGUUGUCGGACGCUGAGUCUGUCCCUAAAAUCUUGAAAUAAAACCAAUGGGAGACCCUUAGUGAAGAUAUCUACAAUUUGAUAGCGUGAUGGAACAUGUAGGACACGGAUGUCUCCACGAGCUACUUUUUCACAAACAAAAUGAAUGUCCAUUUCGAUAUGUUUUGUGCGUUGGUGCUGGACGGGAUUUCGGAUAGAUAUAUGGCACUAACAUCCUUAUUAUCUAAUCCUAAACUACAAUGCACACAACAAUUGCAAAACCCUAAUCCUUGGUUUUGAGCGGGAAAAUUGUGAUUUAACCACAUUUAAUGGCAUUUUUGAAUUUCAAAUCAUGUACCCUUUUGAAAUGUGUGCAUAUGUGCCUAAUUAAUGCAGAUUUUGAAAUUCAAAUAUCCCACCACUUGGAAUUGUGCUCGCUUCUUUCCAAGACAUGCAGUUACCCACUUCUCAAUGCAAAAGCAUCUGAACCAAACAAACCUAUUUCCUUGCAUUUUGCUCUUUCUCCCUCUCUCUCACUCCCCUCUCACGCCCAUUUUUCUCUAAUCAGAAAAGGUCAACGAUUUUCAGUCCCUCUUCUCUUCUCUCUCACUCCAGUUUUCUCUCAAAAAAAAGCCUCUUCUCUUCUCCCACGUUAUUUUUUUCUUCAUUUUCUAACAUUCUUCUUCAAUUCUCCAUCUCUCUCUCUCAUUGUUUCUCGCGUAGCUCUUCGUGUCUUAGUUUGGGUGUUCUCUUCAUCGCCGGUCAGCCUCACCAAGGCAAUAAGCAUCUUCAAGUUUUAUUGAAAGAGAAUGCUUCUAUGCAACAAAAUUUUCAAGACCUUCGAUCCCUCGGUAUGCGUUUUCAGUUUCGUUACGUUUUGAUUGAUUUUGAUUUCGCGAUUAGGAUUUUGGUAUCACCGGUGUUGUUUUGAUUGAUUUUUCCGAUUUGAUAGGAAAGGAGCUUGAAGAAGGUGGAGUUCUCAGUGAAUCGGCACUGUCGCGGAAGGUUUUUCUUUUCAUCAACGAUCUUCUCUCUCAUUCUCUCUCAUUCGCUGCUCUUCUACUAAGCUUUGAUUGUGGAACGUAUGAAGGCAGAGUGACAUCUGAUAACGAUCAGAAUCAAGGCUACUAAGCUUAGAUUAUGGCUUCUAGGGGCAGAGGAAAAUGAGGAAGAAAAAGCACCAUCAAUUACAAUCUGCUCUACAUGUAUAAUGUUUUCCGUAUUCGAAUUAUUUCAAAUUGCAAGUAAUUUAAAUUGAGUUUUAAGGUAGUUUUCUUUGACUGCAAGUAUAAGGGGCUUAUUUCACAAGGUUAUACUUAGAUGUGUAUAUUCACUAUUGAAGCUUAUUUUGAGUUUCCGUGAUGACUUACUUUAUCGAAAUCACGGUGUGCCGCCGCGAUUUAGAAAAAGUUAUAGGGUGCAGCUUUUACAAUAACUAAAAAUUAACUAAUGAUUUGCCUGAAGUUUCUAAUUCUUUUUAUUGGUCCGAUUACAGUCCCUCUCUGAUGAUUUUCUACAACUAUCAGAUUUGAUUGAAUCAACUAAGGUUAAUUAUUUUGUCCAUAAUUUUUGCAAGAUAACUCUUCAGUCUACUGUUUUAGGUCAAAAUUAAUUUAUUUUGUGUAUAGAACAAUAGUUAUGCAGACCACCCAUUUCAAUAGGAUAAUGUCAAAAUUAAUUUAUGCAGACCAUCCAUUUCAAUAAUCAAUAAUGUUUUUUUGGGUUUGUUUGUAUAAUAGCAGGUUUUUUAAGAUUUGUUUUGUGUAUAAUGUGUCAUUUCACUCCACGUAGCCAAUCUUAGUGUUUGUUCAUGAAUAGAAAGUGGCUCAUAAAACAAUUUAAGGGUUCGAUUGUUCUAUAUUAUCUUUGCUCAUCUCUCUUAGUGUUUGAAAUUAGUUCAAAGAGUGGUCUAAAAAUUCUGCUAACAUAUGAGGAUGACGCUUGCAUUGAUAGUUUUUUUUUUUAAAAAAAAAAAAAAAAUCGCAUUGUAUACACAUAAAUUCCUUGAAAUAUAAUUGUAUACACAACGUACACUACAUACGAGGUCAACUUUACGUCGCAAUAUCCAAGGUGACCUCCAGGAAUGGGUUGAAGAUUUUAAUGAAUGAUGAUAAUAGUAAUAGCAUGAAUAGCACUUCAAAUGUAGUUAUAAGGAGAUUUUCUGCAAUCUACCGAUUUAAGGUCUUUUUUAAUGUAUUUUUUUUAGAAACAAUUUAUUUUGUACCGCAAGCAUAUUUAAUUUCAAUACAUUUUGUAAUAGCAUAUUUUAUUUUGUACAGCACGGGUGGAUGGUCUAGUUAUCACAAUAAACUAAACUAGCCUUGUGAAUGGGGAAAUGUAAUUCCAAAAGCAAGUUUCAUAACCAACAAGAUUCAGAAACCGCAUUGGAACCCCUCGAUAUUCUGCUUCAGCACUUGAACGAGAUAAAGUAGGUUGUCGUUUGGAAGACCAUGAGAGUAAGUUGUCACCAAGAGAUACACAGCAACCAGAGGUGGAUCGUCAGGUAUCUAGGCAACUUCCCCAAUCUGCAUUGUGUAAACAAUCAAUGAUGAUGUAGAAGAAGAGUAAAGUUGCAGUCCAUACUCGCGUGUGCCCUGAAUAUAUCUCAGGAUGCGUCAAAGGGUGUGCAUGUGAUCAUCCAUUGGAUUGUGCAUAAAUAAACAUAUUUGUUGCACUGCAUAAGAAAUGCCAGGCCUUGUGAAGGUGAGGUAUUGUAGGGCGCCAGCAAGGCUGCGAUAUAGAGAAAGGUCUUCAAAUGGGGUGCUAGUUUUGGCUCUCAUCUUUGGUUUAGUAUCAACCGUUGUAGGACAUGGUUUACAAGAAGCCAUUCCAGCACGAUCAAUAAUUUCUUCUGCAUAUUUUUUCUGAGACAAAAAUAAGCCACCAGGAUGACGUGUGACAGCAAUACCCAAAAAAUAAUUCAACAAUCCCAAAUCUUUCAUAGCAAACUCGGAACUAAGGAGUGAUAUGAUAGACUUUCAAAGGUCGUCAGAGGAAGAGGAAGCAGUAAGAAUGAUAUCAUCUACAUACAGUAUGAGGUAGGCCAAAAGGUGGGUUUUUCCUAUAUGGUAUCAGAAAAACUCUGCUUCCCGGAACUCUGGCAGAGGUGGUCGAAAUGGUACUGGUAAUUAUUGAUCUAUAACAAUAACCAUAUACGAAGACUACCUCAAAAAAAAAAAAAAAAAAAACGUACGAAGGAGAAUCAACCAUCUGGAUAAUACAUAUCCUUAUUUUAUUUAUUUGAAUUUGAAUGGCAACCACCAAAGCCACAUAUAGAAAGAAUAUUUUCCUACCAAUCGUACAUGAUGCCCAUAACAAAAGAUAGGUUCCAUAAUAUGGCCCCAUAAUAUCCUUAUCCUUAUAAUUAUGGUUCAGAAAAUAAAAAACCUCGUUAAGUUUUAGGAUUAUUUUAAGUUGAUAAAUAUUAACGAGUAUCUUCAGAGCAUUUUUCAAACAUCUAAAGUGGUAAGAUUUUAUGAAAGUUGAGCAUUUAUUAUAUUGGAAAUUGAAGUCUUUACAUUUCUUUUAAAAAUAAUUUUUUCAUUAUAAAUGCUUAAAAGGUGCUCCAUGGACAUUCAUUAACAGGACUCUUUUAAAUUUUAGAAUGUUAGCAUUUCCCUAAAACACAUGUUAAAGAUAGAGAUAUAUUAUGGCCUCUCACGGUAGCACCCGCCUACGUAGCGAGUUUAUGGUCAAUCUAAGUCAUUUACUAAAUGUCAAAAUUAUGUAUGAAUUGAAUUAUUCAACAAUGUUACAAGCUCCAUGUAUUUGCUACUAGUUGAUGAUCACUAACUAUCCUUUCAUUUUCCAUACAACUAGACCAUUUUUUUUUAGUAUUAUUUGCUCUAUCUCUCCACUUGUUUCCACAAAUAUGAUUAAUUUUUUUCGAAAAUUUUGUUUUUUUAAAUAUGAUAUUAUGGAAAACAAAAUUCGAAAAUUUGAAUAUAUAUUAAUCUUUUCCACAAUUUUUUUAAAUAUUUCCCGAUUAUUUUUAUAAUUUUUCCAGAUUUUUUUCAUUAUUUUUUAUUUUACCAGAUUUUUUUAAUCAUUAUUAAUUUUUACAUUUUUUUUUUAAAUUUUUCAGUAUUUUUUUUAAUCAUUAUUCGUUUUUUAAAUUUUUUUAUUUUUAUUUUAAAAAAAUCACAAAUGCCACGUGGCGUUCAUUUACACGCGUGGCAUGAAAAAAAUUAAACAAAAAAAAAUUGACACGUCACUGCCACGUAGUAGAUUCUGCCGACACAUUGAGGUGAGGGGUCAAUCCUGAAGAAUCUUCAUUUUUCAAGGGUGGAAUCUAAAAAAAAAAAAUUACAGGGGCUAAAACCAAAAGUGCAUUAUAUUACAAAGGCCAAAAACACUAUUAACACUAUAUUAUUACUUCUUCUUUUUUAUAAAAAUCCAAAUAAAAAUCAUUUGCAUUGCAGCCAAUUGGCCAAAUGCAACAUGACAAGCGCAAAAUUGCUCCAUGUUGACUUGUGAGAACUCUUGUUCUAGAUAGAGAACCUUAUAGUUUUUGUUGUCACAGAAAAUGUUAAACAACUUUUUCCAUGCAAUUUAUGCGUCUGAAUCGCGCUUGAUGAUGGUGAUGAGAAUAUAUUCUGAGGUGGUGUCAUAUAUCCAUUAUAAUACGACAACAUCAAAAAGCGGCCAAAGAUUGGGAUUGAUUUCUUUGAGAGAGGGAGUUGUUGGCUUAUUAGUGGGUGAGGGAGGAAUGAUGUGAUGAAAGACUUGAUGAACCCUUGCAUGAAUUUUAAAGAGUUCGAACCACGUAUUAUAUUGGACCCUUUUUUAUACUAAACGUAACCUUGAUGAAAUUGGUGAUAAUUGAAAAUGGUGGUAGAGGGAUGGAUAGGUGUGGAAGGAGUUGGGGUUGAAAUUGUCCUUCGAGUGGUAGUAUUUUUGGGGAUGAUUCGGCCCUGAUGGUGAAUGAAGGAGAAGAGGAACGAUGGCGCUGUAUUAGGUUUACGAGAGAAGGAUGAGUACCAACAACUUACUGAUACCAUGUAAGAAUUAUAAUAAGAUAAUUAUUAGUCGUGUGUCAUUUGCAUUGAGAGGAUCCGUUGACACUAGGUGUCAAACUUUAGUUUGACAUCAAAUCUCAACCGUCUAUUAUGUCUAAUCUAAUGGUCUGUGAUUAUUUAUUAAAUUAACUUGUGUGAUCUUUUUCCCAUGUCUCACCUGAUCCCACGCCGGCUGUUCUGCUCCAUCUCCUUCAACUUAUCAAAGUUAAUAUGGCCAACAAUCAAAUACACACACAAAUUAAUUCUUUUUUUUUUUUAAAGAAGAAGAAGCUAAAUUAGCCCACACAAAUUGGCACCGGAGAGAAUCGAUCCUGAGACCUCGAGGAGGAGCACACUCCCAGAUCCCAAGUCAAUACCACCAGACCAACCCAAAUGAUAAAUAAGGAGUUAAUUCUAAAUAAGGAGUUAUACAUAUAAUUACAUAUUGUUGACAUUAAUUGUUCUCUGUGGGGCAAGAUACUUGAGGUGUAAGUUUCAUAAGAUGCAAGUUCUUUUAAGUCUAAAUUGUCUUAUACUUACAUUAUUUUAGGUCUAAAUUUCAGAAACCAUUAUCACAAAUUUUUUGACAAUCUUAUCUCACAUACUCGUACUAUAUUUUUACUUCUCUUUUUGUUGUUUUGGUUUUUGUUUUCAUACCUAAUUUUCCUUGUAAAUCUAUAGUUGUCUCAUAAAUUAUCGUUAAAAUUGUUGUUCAAAUAACACAACUCCUAUUUCUAAUACUCAAAAUUUGUUCAAAUUAAGUUUUUAAAGAACUUCUAAUAAAAUCAGAUUAAGUUUUUUUGAACUUUCUAAAUACUUAAAUUGAAUUUUCUCGAAUAUACAUCUUGGAGAAAGAAAAAAAAUAAUUAUAGGAGGGAGAUGCAAAACUUACGUUUUCUUUCACUAGAAACAUAUUUUGAGUUUUCAAUAUCAUCAAAAUCAUAAACUUUAUUUAUUUGCAAAUCUAGAGCACAUAUAGCACGAUUUUCUCUCAUAAUUUACAUUGAUAUAACACAUAUUAUGUUCUUACCUUGCCCAAACAUUCGGGAUUUAAUUGAUAAUGUAAAAGAUGUUUUCAAAUGUAGAAUAAGAAAGAUGGAAAACCUCCAAGCCAAAUUAUACACAAGAAUAUAAAACAAAGCAUUUACUUGGUAGAUAAUAUUUUCUUUUUAAACAGCAAAUUUUAUUCAUAAUAAGAUAACCUAACACAAGAAGUGAAGAGGCUAUAGGGGAAAGACACAAGGUAACAAUACAUAAAGACAACUAAACCAAUGCUAAAAAUCCACAUCACAAAACCACCCAAACAACCCUUAAUACAAUAUAAUCACAGCAGAAAAACCUUAACCAAAUCAAGCAAACACACCCAGACCUUCCCCUAACACAAAAUCAAACCAGUUUCCAUCAACACCACAUCAAUAGACCCCUUAAAUAAUUGAACAAAAACCAGCCACCUAAACUUCCUGGUACCAGUAAAUUACAAUUACUUAGUAGAUAUUGAUAUGUCUUGUUGCAUUGAUGUUUCAGAAAUGUGUGGCUGGAGGGCAAUCUUUGGGUCGUAACUUCCACAAUAUCUUCGAGCAGCGAUUGAUUUUGGGAGUUUUGAAUUUUGGGAAGGCAGCAUCAACAGCAAAAUGUUGAGGAGCAAGCAUAAAAGCAGCAAGGAAUAACACUAAUAAGGAUAAGAAAAAGGAAUUAGCCAUUUUAAGAAGUGAUAUUAUUAUUGUGUUGGUGCAUAAUACAUAUGGAGUUAACUGGCUUUAUACUAGUUAGAGACUCAAUGUGAGUUUAUGGUCAAUCUAAGUCAUUGUGUAUGAAUUCAAUCAUUCAACACGUAGGUUCCAUGCAUUUGGAAAACUAGUUGAUGAUUAAAAAUGUUCAAUAUAUUAGGCUAUGAAUUGUUUAUGAAUUGAAUUGUUGAUGAUUAAAACAGUGUACUGGAGGUGGAACAUGUUUUAAUAACAUUAAUAUGUAGAUAUUAUUAUUUAUGCAUUGAACCCUGUAUUGAUAAAAAUUCCACAUAGGUUACUUUAUUUGUCAUUUAUGCUUGAAUAUAAAAAUACAAAACAGUGUUUUUUCUUAUUAAAUUUUUUAAUUAAAUUAUAAAGAUUUUUAAUAACUUAGUGUUUACCAAUUGCACUCAUUAAUUCUUAAUUAUAGAAUGAUUAUCGUAAACUCAUUUUAGAUCCUCCAAAAAUGAAGAAAGCUCAUUCUUAGGACAACACAAAAGAGAAGAAACGCAAGAUUGUUGGCAUAUUGGUAGACUAUUUCUGUUUGACAAAUUCAAUAAGCUAGUUUAUAGUUUAUAAGUCCGAAUGAUUAAAAAAUGUAUGUUUCAUAACUGUUUUUUCAUCACUAGUUUUAUAGUUUAUUUUAUUAGUUUGUAGUUUAUUUUUUAGACGUUAUUCGAGAUUAUACUUUAUCAUUUUUAUUUGUGUUUACCUUUAUUAUUUUGAAUAAUUUUUAGGAUAAUUUCUAGUGUUGAUCUAAGUUGUUUUUCAUUGAAAAUCAAUCUAAUUCAUUGAAUUAGGAUUCAUAUAAUUUGCUUAGGUCAAUUGAUUGCAAAAUCAAUUCAAUUCUUCAAUUACACAUGUAUUGUGUUUUUUAUUUGAUAACUUAGUAAUUUUGUUCAGAUAGGUUUGGUUUGAAAUUGUCUAUUGUUUUGUACAUUGUUCAAAGAAUAUUAAAGUUUGAUUGUAUAAUAAGAUUUGUAUCGUGAAUCUCUCAAUUCUAAGAUUAAAUCUCAUUGCACAUAUAUUUGUCUUUUUCAUUCCUUGAUUGUCAUUGUUCGACCACGAAUCCCAUAGUCAAUUUUGUUGAGAGAGAGAGAGAGAGAGAGAGAGAGAGAGAGAUUGGAUGGACGAGUAAUAUUAGUGCAGAACACAUAGCAAAAGAGAAUCGAAAAAAGAGGAUCCCGAUCCUUUUCUAAAGGACAAUCAACCAUCUAUAUAACGACAAAUUUAAACCCAUCAUGUACAAAAAUAACGAUCAAGGUGAAAAUAUAAACGUAACAUUGAACUAUGUUAUUAAAUUAUAAUAAACUUCAAAGGGUAAAAUUGGUUUUUAGAUAAACAUAUAAGCCAAAUAAGGUUACAAGUUGUUUUUUUUUUUUUUUUGAAAGAAGGGUUACAAGUUAUAAGCUUGUGAAGAAAAGACGGUUAUCAAACACAACCUAUACAGCUCAUGAAGCUACCAUAAAAAAUUUAAUAGUGGGGAUGUUUAAUGAAGAUUGGUAGUACUGUAGUAGUGUUACGUUGAUCAUGGAGCUAUAGUUAUAAAUAAUUUUAAAGUGGGUUAUGUUUAUUGAAGAUAGGGAGAUCGAAGCGGAAAUGCUGGAAAAUGAUGAUGGAAAAAUAUAAAUCGGCGAUUUAUAUUUUAGUCCUUGUGAAAGUUAGAAUUUAAGUUUGAAGGGGUGCACGGGUAUUCAAGGAUCCGAAGAUUUUAAGAAGCACCAAAUUUAAGGUUUACUUGGAGUUUGAGGGAGUGUUUUACAUAGGAGUUGAAGAAUUAGGUUUUAAUUUCAAGGAACUCUUGUAAACAGAUUGUAUUCAACAUUUGUUAGACCAAGUACAAUGGCUUGUUGAAAGUGCCAUUCAACAUGUUGAAUCAUUGUAGUGGGGGGUGUUGAAAUUGAAAAAAAAAAAACUUAGUUGGAGGAAAGAGAUGAUGAACAAGUUUAACUAGCUGAAAGCCUGGCCCUCACAGACACGUGGCGCGACCCGAUUGCAUGAAACAGGCGAGUGCGAUGCACGCGACGACAGGGCGCAUGAGAGAUUGGAAGCGCAGAGAGAGAAAGAGAAAUGGAUAAAUGUUGUGACACUUGGCAUGUUUUGAUUGGCUGCUUGGAUUUUUAUCUUCUUAAUAAUUUGGACUCAAUUAUUUCAUUGUAAAUAAUUUUUUUUUACCAAAAUUCGUGAUUUUUUUUUCUCUAUAAAUAGAGACUUGGAUCAUUUGAUUUGGACACAGAAAAAAAAAAUCAAGUUUUUUCACUCUCUUAAUCUUAUUACUAGCUUUUCUUUAAAAGUUUAAGUCUGAAAUUGAUCCCAAUAACAAUCAAUUCAAUACCCAAAGUUCUUCAGAUUACCCAUCUAGCUACCAAAAUCCAAAUUAUUAUCAACACCCAAAUCAAUUUCUCAACCAACAUCCUUAAAACCCAAAUCAAUUCCCCAACCAACAUCCUCAAAACAUGCCUAAUUUUGGUUUUGCCUCAAAUUUCAAUCACUCAUCCUCUGUUCUAAACAACUUUUAUCCAUAUUAUAGAUCUAUGAUGGGAUAUCCAUCUCAAACACCCCAUUUAAUGGUUAUAUGCCAAUGGUGAAUGAAAAUUUUCAGAGUGUUAGUGAAUAUCCUGAAUUUUCAUCACAAAUAAAUAGUGGUGGAAUGACAAGAGCUAAUGAAGUCACUCCAAUUUCAGAGGAUACAACUCCUAAGAGCAAGAAAAACCAGCAACCAGGAACACUGAACAAAAUUUGGUGUUAAUUAGUGGGUGAAUAAAAUAUGGAACAUGCAUUGUUGUCGGGAGAAACCAGACAAGUGAAGCAUAUUGGGUUAAAAUUGUUGAGUAUUGUAAUGAGCAUCGCUCAUUCGAUUCUCCGCGCGACUCAGUUGCAUGCCGAAACCGUUUUAAUUAUAUGAGCAAAUUAAUAAAUAAAUGGGUUGGUGCUUAUGAUGGUGCUAAGCGUUUGCAAGGAAGCGGUUGGUCGAAAGAUGAUGUUUUGGAAAAAGCCCAUGAAUUAUAUGUGAAACACCCCGUUUUCCCAACUUGAAAUUUUUUGCAUAAAUCAGAGUAAAACAGCUAAACAGGAUGCUGCACUUCUUUCAAAUCUGAAUAUAGUAAAAUUACUAAUUAUCUCAAUCAUCAAAUUAAAUCUUAUUGCAGCGGAAAUUAGUUCAACGUUUAAAACAACCUUGGCACAAAGGCCUCAAUGUAAAAUCUCAUAAAAUUAUUCCAACAACAUGUUCAUAAAACUUCAUAAAAUAAUACGUAAGGAACGUAAAGCAACAACAAAAUUCUCAUCCCGUUACGUAUCAGAGCACCUAAGACACACGUGAGAGAAUCCACUCACGACCGCAACUAUUCUUGGUUACCUGCAAGUUACUCAAUUGUGAGGGCAACAUUUCCAAGCAGAAGGGGUGAGAUUUCACAUUCAAUAAUAAUAAGCAUAUAAUUCAUCAAAUUCAUUUAACAACUUAAACUUCAUCAAUUAGUAACACUAACUCUUCGCAUAAAUACUUCAUUAAUUAAUAACAUUAACUCUUCCUAUAAGACUUCAUUAAUAACUCAAUCAACUUCUAAUCAUCAUUAACUUCAUAUUCAUCACAUUAUAUACAACGUCAUACAACACGUAAUAAUCAAAUCAUAAACAUCAUCAUAUAAAAACCUAAUCAUCACAUCAUAAACAUCAUCUUAUAACAUCAUAUAGUUCACAUCAUAAACAUCAUCAUAUAACAACAUAAACAUCACAACAUAAACAUGAAAUAAGGUUAUAAGGUUGCACUCAAAAAGUUUUAGUGAUAGUCAACUAUGAGAAUAGGUCUAAUUACUGUUGAGAUACAUUCAUGUAAUCUUAUAGGAAACAUGAAAUACCAAAGAACAUCUUGUCCUUAGAAAUGAAUAGAGAAAUAGAUAUGGAAUGUUUAGGAUUUAACUUUAUGAUGAAAACCGCAAUCUCAUGACGCAUUUUUAUAUCUAAAUUUUAAUCAAAAAAAUAAUUGCACUUAAUCAAUUUAUUUUUUUCAGCUAAUCAAAACUAAAAAUUAGAUUAGUAUUUACUUAAAGUCCAUGUGAAUCGAUAUUUUACUAGAACCGUACACUUGCGUAAACCUAUCAAAGACCCUAUUGAUGUAUAUGGAAUCGUAGUUACCUAUCAAAGCUACAAAAAAAAUUAGAUCGGAAUUGGGGUCUUUCUGACCAUUCUUGAAGUCGAAGGGGGUUCGUUUACUGGAUGUAGCAUCGAAGGCUUGAGUGAAGAGUUCGAAGGGGUGCACGGGUAUUCAAGGAUCUGAAGAUUCAAGAAGCACCAAAUUUAAGGGUUACUUGGAGUUUGGGGGAGUGUUUUACAUAGGAGUUGAAGAAUUAGGUUUUAAUUUCAAGGAACUUUUGUAAACACAUUUGUAUUCAACUAUUAUAAAAAUAUCGGUGUUAUCUCUCUUUCCCUAUCCUCUUUACUUUUAGCUAUUGCAUGUGAUUAAUUGAAUAAUUUUUAGAAUAAUUGCUAGUGUUGAUCUAAGUUAUUUUUCAUUGAAAAUCAAUCUAAUUCAUUGAAUUAGGUUUCAUAUAAUUUGCUUAGAUCAAUUGAUUGAAAAAUCUAUUCAAUUCUUCAAUUACACAUGUAUUGUGUUUUUGAUUUGAUAACUUAGUAAUUUUGUUCAUGUAGGUUUUUGGUUUGAAAUUGUCUAUUGUUUUGUACAUUGUUCAAGGAAUAUUAAAGUUUGAUUGUAUAAUAAGAUUUGUAUCGUGAAUCUCUCAAUUCUAAGAUUAAGUCUCAUUGCACAUAUAUUUGACCUUUUGAUUCCUUGAUUGUCAUUGUUCGACCACGAAUCCAAUAGUCAAUUUUGUUGAGAGAGAGAGAGAGAGAGAGAGAUUGGAUGGACGGGUGAUAUUAGUGCAGAACACAGCAAAAGAGAAUCGAAAAAAGAGGAUCUUGAUCCUUUUCUAAAGGAGAAUCAACCAUCUAUAUAAUGACAAUUUUAAACCCAUCAAGUACAAAAAUAACGAGCAAGGUGAAAAUAUAAACGUAACAUUGAACUAUUUUAUUAAAUGAUAAUAAACUUCAAAGGGUAAAAUUGGUUUUUAGAUAAACAUAUAAGGGGUUACUAAAAAGGGUUACAAGUUUUUUUUUUUUUUUGAAAGAAGGGAUACAAAUUAUAAGCUUGCGAAGAAAAGACGGUUAUCAAACACAGCCUAUGCAGCUCAUGAAGCUGCCAUAAAAAUUUUAAUAGUGGGGGAUAUUUAAUGAAGAUUAGUAGUAGUGUUACGUUAUUCAUGGAGCUAUAGUUAUAAAUAAUUUUAAAGUGGGUAAUGUUUAUUGAAGAUAGGGAGAUCGAAGCGGAAAUGCUGAAAAAUGAUGAUGGAAAAAUAUAAAUCGAUAUUAUCUUUUAUUUUAGUCAGAAUUUAAAUUUGGUAUUUUUCAGUAUCCAUGUCGGCGAUUUUGACUAAUUUUGAUUAAGUAAACGUCUUAGUUGACUUCAAUGACUAAAGUAACUAAGAACAAAGAGUGAAUGAUUUAAUUCGGGUUUUAUCUAAGUCAUUGACCAAAAUUACAUCUUGUUACACUUUUAAGGAGAAAAAUGGUUGUUUUCCCAAUAAUGUUUUCCAAUAUUAAAUUAAUGUUGUUUUCUGCCUUAGGGAUGUUACCAAUUUGUUAUGUUGGAGUUACCUUUAGUGCUAAGAAACCUUUAGACCAAUAAAAAUAUUUUGAGUCCCUUUUAAAGUGGUAAAUACACUAAUAUAAAGUCAUUGUCAAUUGAUGUUAGGACUAUUUAUUAAGAAUGCAAUAUUUACUUGUUGUUCUUUGGUAGACACUUAGAGUUCAUUUUUGUGGACUGUAUGAACUUGGUUAUAUCAUAGUUAACGUCGUAUUAGACAAACGGAAAUGAAAGACUCAUCUCUCACUCUACUUAGGACUAGCCAAUUGUCAAACUUGGUUACAAUUUAUUUUGUUUGGAAAACUUAAUUUGAAUUUUCUACAAGUCAUGAAAAAUUCAAAUUUCUGUUUUCUGAUUAGAAGAUCAAUAAACGGUUCAAUAUCAUCACAAUCUCCAAAUCAUAACUUCAUUCAUUUGCAAAUCUAGAGCACAUAUAUCACGAUUUUCUAUCAUGAUUUGCAUUGAUAUAAGUAAGUAUAACACAUAUAUUUUACUCUUAACUUAGCCAUACAUUGCGGAUUUACUUAGUAGAUAGAGUAAUGUUUUUUUUUAAACAACAAAUUUUAUUCAUAAGCUAACCCAACACAAGAAGUGAAGAGGCUAGAGGAAACACACAAGACAACAGAUACAUAAAGACAACUAAACCACCCAAACAAUCCUUAAUACAAUAGAAUAACAUCAGAAAAACCAGCCACCUAAACUUCCUAGUACCAUGAAACAAUGUCAGGUCGCGUUGAUUUUUAGGCUGGAGGGCAAUGUUUGUUUCGGAAGUUCUCGACUUUCUUCAACAAAGGGUAGUGCUUUUUGCAGAAAUCGGGUAUAUGGGGUAUAUGUACUGGUUUAUCUUUUGGGAUUAAAUUUUUGAUUUUUGGGAUUAAUGCUUCAACUGCGGGACCAAAGCUAACAGCAUCAGCAAAAUGUUGUUGAGGAGCAAGCAUAAAAGCAGCAAGGAAUAACACUAAUAAGGAUAAGAAAAAUGAAUUAGCCAUUUUAAGAAGUGAUAUAAUUAUUAGUGUUGGUGCAUAAUACAUAUGGAGUAUACUGGUUUUAUACUAGUUAGAGACUCAAUGUGAGUUUAUGGUCAAUCUAAGUCAUGUACUAAAUGUCAAAAUUGUGUAUGAAUUGAAUUAUUCAACAAUGUUACAUGUUCCUUCCAUGUAUUUGCUACUAGUUGAUGAUCAGUCCCUACCUAUCCUUUAAUUUUCCACACAACAAGACCAUUCAGUAAUAUUGGCUCUAUCUCUCCACUUGUUUGCCCACCAUGGUUUAGCUGAAAAAACAGUGCAACUUGUUUCAAUAACAUUAAUAUAUAUAGAUAUUACUAUUUAUAUAUGCAUUGAACCCUGUAUGAUUUAUUUAUUUAUAAAAAUUCCAAAUAGGUUACUUUAUUUGUCAUUUAUGCUUGAAUAUGAAAAUACAAAACAGUGUUUUUUCUCAUUAAAAUUUUUACUAUAAAGAUUUUUAAUAACUUAGUGUUUACCAAUUGCACUUACUAAUUCUUAAUUAUAGAAUGAUGAUUAAAAAUUGUAUGUUUCAUAACUGUUUUUCAUCACAAGUUUAUAGUUCAUUUCUCAGACGUUAUUCCAAAUAACGUUUGAGAUUAUAGGUUAUCAUUUUAAUUUCAUGUUUACCUUUAUUAUUUUGUUUAAGAUUUAUUUUUAUCCUUUUUAAUAUAUACUAUUUAUAAAGAAAAUAUAGGGAUUUUGGGCUGACUUUUUUGUUAUUCCAAUUAUACCUUUAAAUAAAAAAAAAUCAAAUAAUGUGAUAUGGUUGGUGUUAAAUAAGAAUUUUUGUUAUAUUAUUGUUGUCAUUGAGAAUCAUAAAUAUUGUUUGUUGAGUUUGUUACAUUUGAAAGUCACAUAUCAUACUUUUAAUUUUUGUCCAUAUCAAAAAAUUUAUAUAAAAUAUCGUUUGUAAUUUACACGCAGAAUUUCAAUAAAUUAUCGUAAAUAAUUUAUACACAUUAACGUAAUAAAAAGAGCAGAAAGAUGAACAUGUGAAUGCUCGUCUUUAGUAAGUAAGAUUGUCUUAUAUACUUACAUUAUUUUAGGUCUAAAUUUCAGAAACCAUUAUUUGACAAUAUUUUUGACAAUUUUAUCUCACAUACUCACAUUAUAUUUUUACUUCUCUUUUUGUUGUUUUGGUUUUUAUUUUCAUACCUAAUUUUCCUUGUAAAUCUAUAGUUGUCUCAUAAAUUAUCGUUAAAAUUGUUGUUCAAAUAACACAACUCUUAUUUCUAAUACUCAAAAUUUGUUCAAAUUAAGUUUUUAAAGAACUUCUAAUAAAGUCAGAUUAAGGUUUUUUUGAACUUUUUAAAUACUUAAAUUGAAUUUUCUCCAAUAUACAUAUUAGAGAAAGAAAAAAAAUAAUGAUAGGAGGGAGAUGCAAAACUUAUGUUUUCUUUCUCUAGAAACAUAUUUUGAGUUUUCAAUAUCAUCAAAAUCUCAAAAUCAUAAACUUUAUUUAUUUGCAAAUCUAGAGCACAUAUAGCGCGAUUUUCUUUCAUAAUUUACAUUGAUAUAACACAUAUUAUGUUCUUACCUUGCCCAAACAUUCGGGAUUUAAUUGAUGAUGUAAAAGACGUUUUUAAAUGUAGAAUAAGAAAGAUGGAAAACCUCCAAGCCAAAUUAUACACAAGAUAUACAAAUUAUACACAAAAAUUUCAAAUUUCAAUUUUCUCGAGAGUAUUCUUAAAUGAUCAAUCAAUGAUUCAAUAUAAUCACAAUCUCAAAAUCAUAAACUUUAUUUAUUUUCAAAUCUAGAGCACAUAUAGCGGGAGGAGAUUGUCUCGUGUGAUUUUUCUCUCAUGUGUAAUCCAGACCCUCCAUUAAAUAUGUGAGAUAAUGUGUUUGUAAUAUAAAAUGACCGAACGCAAGAUAAAUUGUUUUUUUCUAAACAAUAAAUUUUAUUCAUAAGCAUUCCCGUGAGCUUAGCUCAGUUGGUACGGAUAUUGCAUUUUAUAUGCAGUGGCUGAGGUUCGAACCCCAGACACCCCACUUCUCCACAAUUAAAUUGUGUGAGCUCUAACCACUAGACUACUUGACCAAGAAAAAAGAAAUAUUCAUAAGCUAACCCAACACAACACAAGAAGUGAAGAGGCUAUAGAGGAAAGACACAGGGUAACAAUACAUAAAGACAGCUAAACCAAGGCUAAAAAGCCACAACACAUGUAAAUGGCUUAUCACAGCAGAAAACAAGGUAUAUCAAUAUCAUGUGUGACUACAAAACCGCCCAAACAACCCUUAAUACAAUAGAAUCACAGCAGAAAACACCCUUAGUAGAUAUUGAUAUGCCUUGCCGCGAUGAUGUUUUAGAAAUGUGCAGGUGGAGGGCAAUUACUGGGUCGGUUAUGCCCGUUUUUCCUCGAGCAGGGAUUUAAUGAGGGCUUUUGGGAUGGUUUAGGACGAGGGAAAGGUACUGGUUAGGAUGGAGUGAAAUGGGGUAAAUGCUUUAUGAUUCUUGGAGGGAGAUGUAUGGCAUCAACAGCAAAAUGUUGAGGAACAAACAUAAGAGCAGCAAGGAAUAACACUAAUAAGGAUAAGAAAAAGGAUUUAGCCAUUUUAAGAAGUGAUAUAAUUAUUAGUGUUGGUGCAUAAUACAUAGGGAGUUAAACUGGUUUUAUACUAGUUAGAGACUCAAUGUGAGUCUAUCGUCAAUCAAAGUUAAAAUUGUGCACGAAUUGAAUUAUUCAACAAUGUUACAAGUUCCAUGUAUUUGAUACUAGCUGAUGAUCAUUUAGUAUUAUUGGCUCUAUCUCUCCACUU
rnacentral:lncRNA from 1 species